GACGAGGUGGCCUAGUGGUUAAUGCGAUAGACUGCUAAUCCAGUGGGUUAUGCACGCGUGGGUUCGAAUCCCAUCCUCGUCG
rnacentral:tRNA from 1 species